rnacentral:rRNA from 1 species
UGGGGAAUAUUGCACAAUGGGCGAAAGCCUGAUGCAGCGACGCCGCGUGAGUGAUGAAGGUCUUCGGAUUGUAAAGCUCUGUCUUUUGGGACGAUAAUGACGGUACCAAAGGAGGAAGCCACGGCUAACUACGUGCCAGCAGCCGCGGUAAUACGUAGGUGGCGAGCGUUGUCCGGAUUUACUGGGCGUAAAGGGUGCGUAGGCGGAUGUUUAAGUGAGAUGUGAAAUACCCGGGCUUAACUUGGGUGCUGCAUUUCAAACUGGAUAUCUAGAGUGCAGGAGAGGAGAAUGGAAUUCCUAGUGUAGCGGUGAAAUGCGUAGAGAUUAGGAAGAACACCAGUGGCGAAGGCGAUUCUCUGGACUGUAACUGACGCUGAGGCACGAAAGCGUGGGUAGCAAACAGGAUUAGAUACCCUGGUAGUCCACGCCGUAAACGAUGAGUACUAGGUGUAGGAGGUAUCGACCCCUUCUGUGCCGCAGUAAACACAUUAAGUACUCCGCCUGGGAAGUACGAUCGCAAGAUUAAA